rnacentral:rRNA from 1 species
UACGUAGGGGGCAAGCGUUGUCCGGAUUUAUUGGGCGUAAAGAGCGUGUAGGCGGUUUGGUAGGUCCGCUGUGAAAACUCGAGGCUCAACCCCGGACUUGCAGUGGGUACGGGCAGACUAGAGUGUGGUAGGGGAGACUGGAAUUCCUGGUGUAGCGGUGAAAUGCGCAGAUAUCAGGAGGAACACCGGUGGCGAAGGCAGGUCUCUGGGCCACUACUGACGCUGAGAAGCGAAAGCAUGGGGAGCGAACAGG